AAGGGAUGAGACGAGUUUGCCAAAGCGCCUAAAAAAAGAAACCGGUUAUCGAGCGCAGAUAUAGAAUUGACAGUGUAAGUAGCAACAAAAAUUUUAAAAGAGUAAAGUAGAAUCAAAAACUAUAUCUAAGUUUAGAAAAUCCCUAAAGAGAAAUUUUCAGGUGAAUGUUAGGGGGUAGGUUCCGGUUGAAUUUUUAAAGGACUAAAGCGGCAAAAGCAGCAAUGCUCAAGAGUGAAACAAUCAAUAAUGAACUCUUGGAAAACCGGACAGGGGACCCACUCUCCAUCAAUUCGCGCCCUGUAUUGGGAAUGGAUGCUGCGUAUCCAAUGGAUCCGGCAGGUGCAGAAGUGUAAGUAGUAGAUGGUUGAUAUUCGGUGUAACUAUAAGGACUAAAAAUAAUAUUAGUAAUUUUACACAAACAAAUAGUUUCCAUAAAAUGACAAGCAUGACUUACAAAAUGGUUUCUACACCAUCCGACCAAGAUUUGUCGGUGACAAUCACAACAUCGCUCACAGUAGUAGAGUAACUUGCCUGAGUUGAACUAGAAUCAUCAUCCCUCUUAACAAAUGGGGUCAAAGGAAUUUUUGAGGGCAAAACACGAUUAGCUAAAUAUACUGAGUUAGCUAUUUCACAUAGUCACAAAAUAUAAAGACAGAGACAUAGAGAAUAGAGAAGGGAUGUAAAAAGAAUACCAAAGUUUAAAUAUUAAAAUAUUUAAACAAUGAUUAAAUGACAAAAACUCGGUCUACGACAUUAUACAACAUUAAGUGCACGAGUUGGAUGGACAGCAAACUUUUUACAUAGCCUCAAUGUACUUACUGUAGAGCAAUUCAAUUUCAGAUAAAUGCUCGAGAUCUCCAAUGGG